rnacentral:piRNA from 1 species
UGGACCCUCUUACAUUUAUGCUCCCAGCC